UCCCUUUUUCCACCUGGAGAGAGGGUGAAAGAUGGCUUCGGCUAUCACUAGGGGAUGGGCCCGCGGCGCAUUAGCUAGUUGGUAAGGUAACGGCUUACCAAGGCAACGAUGCGUAGCCGACCUGAGAGGGUGAUCGGCCACACUGGGACUGAGACACGGCCCAGACUCCUACGGGAGGCAGCAGUAGGGAAUCUUCCGCAAUGGACGAAAGUCUGACGGAGCAACGCCGCGUGAGUGAGGAAGGCCUUCGGGUCGUAAAGCUCUGUUGUGAGGGAAGAAGCGGUACCGUUCGAAUAGGGCGGUACCUUGACGGUACCUCACCAGAAAGCCACGGCUAACUACGUGCCAGCAGCCGCGGUAAUACGUAGGUGGCAAGCGUUGUCCGGAAUUAUUGGGCGUAAAGCGCGCGCAGGCGGCUUCUUAAGUCUGAUGUGAAAUCUCGGGGCUCAACCCCGAGCGGCCAUUGGAAACUGGGGAGCUUGAGUGCAGAAGAGGAGAGUGGAAUUCCACGUGUAGCGGUGAAAUGCGUAGAGAUGUGGAGGAACACCAGUGGCGAAGGCGACUCUCUGGUCUGUAACUGACGCU
rnacentral:rRNA from 2 species